rnacentral:rRNA from 1 species
CAGGGAUUGCCCUAGUAACGGCGAGUGAAGCGGCAACAGCUCAAAUUUGAAAUCUGGCCCUAGCGGUCCGAGUUGUAAUUUGUAGAGGAUGCUUUUGGUUAGGUGCCUUCUGAGUUCCCUGGAACGGGACGCCAGAGAGGGUGAGAGCCCCGUACGGUUGGACACCGAGCCUCUAUAUAGCUCCUUCGACGAGUCGAGUAGUUUGGGAAUGCUGCUCUAAAUGGGAGGUAAAUUUCUUCUAAAGCUAAAUACCGGCCAGAGACCGAUAGCGCACAAGUAGAGUGAUCGAAAGAUGAAAAGUACUUUGAAAAGAGGGUUAAAUAGCACGUGAAAUUGUUGAAAGGGAAGCGUUUGCGACCAGACUUUUUCCAGGCGGAUCAUCCGGUGUUCUCACCGGUGCACUUCGCCUGGUUUAGGCCAGCAUCGGUUCUCUUAGGGGGAUAAAGGCCUGGGGAACGUAGCUCCUUCGGGAGUGUUAUAGCCCCUAGCGUAAUACCCUUCGGGGGACCGAGGAACGCGCA